rnacentral:tRNA from 1 species
GCCUCCGUGGCGCAGUGGUAGCGCACGUUCUUGGUAAGAACGGGGUCAUGGGUUCGAGUCCCAUCGGAGGCUCCA